rnacentral:misc_RNA from 1 species
GUGAAUCAUCAAAUCUUUGAACGCAAAUUGCACUCUCCUCGGAGAGUAUGCCUGUUUGAGGGUCAGCCUAUAAAAAACGGAAAGGGUUGCGUUUUCGGGGUGGCGUUGGUCGGAAAUUGGGCCAUCUGAAACUUUUGGGUUUUAAUUGACUAAAAAUUUUUUUUUGGUUGCAUGAACGGUUCUUAAAGUUAUUUCUUUACACGUUUAAAGUACCGGUUUUUAUUAAAAGG